rnacentral:lncRNA from 1 species
CGGAAGUCUAGAUAGUGAUGAUUUUAUAUUUUUUAUAUUUCUUUAGAGAUUUCAAGAAGUUUUGAAUUUUUUAAACUUUCAAUACUAUUAAACAAGCUUAAGUUAUAUUUUUGGACUCUAUUAGUCUACUACAUAUCUUGAAACUUUUUUUUUACAAAAAUUAUAAAAGUUCAAUGAGAUUAUGACCCUUUAAUUUUAUAUUAAAUAUUUUAUUUUACUUAAAUUUUAGUUAAUUAGUGAUAACAUUGUGUAUUCAUG